UCACACCCUUUUUCUCUUCUGAGGCACCCCCAAACCCUAGCCUGCCCCCUUUUUCCCAGUGCCUUAGGGUGGCGGUGCCACCUCCUCUCACGCCCAAAUCAAUACCACACAAUCUUCAAGACCCUCCCAUUCCGAGUCAUCCCUUAGUUUCUUUCAAAUAUACCCAAAACCUCUCGAAUCUUAAAUCUACAGUUCGAGUUCUAGAGGUCAAAGUCAAGUUCAUGCAUGCAAGGCUAAUGUUCCAGUUCCUAUGAGCUUUGAGGCAUGAUUUUAUCAUCAAAUAACUUUCGCAUGUUCUUAGCAAAGAACAAGCGAUUGACAUUAUUUGGAGAUUCAAUCGGAGGGUCGGUCGAAUUCUAACCUGAAUCAAUGGGUUUUUCUUAGUUUUUCGCUUCUCAUGUUUACCCCUUGUUCUUCUUCAUUUUCUUCUUCUCCGUGAAUUCGAGCUUUCUCUUGACUGAAAUUGGUUGUGAACCCAACUGCUUCCCUUCAAGUUAAUUUGUCAGUUCGUACUUGUUUCCCUUCAUGUUUAGUUUUCUUCGCAAUUGUUAAUAGUUGUGCCUUGACUUUGUUUACCUAUUGGUGCUUAUGUUUAGGUUUAAAUUCCUG
rnacentral:lncRNA from 1 species